CUACGGAGGGUGCAAGCGUUAAUCGGAAUUACUGGGCGUAAAGCGCGCGUAGGCGGUUAGAUAAGUCGGAUGUGAAAUCCCUGGGCUCAACCUGGGAACUGCAUUCGAUACUGUCUAACUAGAGUAUGGUAGAGGGAAGUGGAAUUCCGGGUGUAGCGGUGAAAUGCGUAGAUAUCCGGAGGAACAUCAGUGGCGAAGGCGACUUCCUGGACCAAUACUGACGCUGAGGUGCGAAAGCGUGGGGAGCAAACAGGAUUAGAAACCCCAGUAGUCC
rnacentral:rRNA from 1 species